CACGUCUUCGCCUGUUUAUCAAAAACAUACCUUUUAGAUAUUUUAUUUAAAGUCUGGCCGCAGUAUUUUAACUGUGCAAAGGUAGCAUAAUCAUUAGUCUUUUAAUUGAAGGCUUAUAUGAAUGGUUGGACGAGGCAUAAGCUGUUUCAUUGGAAUUAGGGGUAGAACUUUAUUUUUUAGUUAAAAAGCUGAGAUGUUUUUGAAAGACGAGAAGACCCUAUAGAUCUUGAUAAUUAUUGGGUUAUAUUUAUGAAGAUUAUUUUAUUUGUGAUCCAUUAUAUUAUUUUUUUGGGUGGCAUUAAGAUUUACGAAACUCUUAUUAUGAUGUUUAACAUUAAUUUAUGAAAUUUUGAUCCACUAGUAGUGAUUAAUAAAUUAAGUUACCUAAGGGAUAACAGCGUAAUUUUUCUAGAGAGUUCAUAUCGAUAGAAAAUAUUGCGACCUCGAUGUUGGAUUAAAAGAUACGACUGGGCGCAGCAGUUCAGUUGUUAAGUCUGUUCGACUUUUGAUUUCUUACGUGAUCUGAGCUCAAACCGGAGACC
rnacentral:rRNA from 1 species